UACGGGGGGGGGCAAGCGUUGUUCGGAAUUACUGGGCGUAAAGGGUGCGUAGGCGGUGCUCUAAGUCGGAUGUGAAAACUCUGGGCUCAACCCAGAGCCUGCAUCCGAAACUGGAGUGCUAGAGUUCUGGAGGGGGUAGCGGAAUUCCUGGUGUAGCGGUGAAAUGCGUAGAGAUCGGGAGGAACAUCAGUGGCGAAGGCGGCCAUCUGGGACAACACUGACGCUGAGGCACGAAAGCGUGGGGAGCAAACAGG
rnacentral:rRNA from 1 species